GGUCCUGGAACGAGGCAUGUGAUCGUUAUAAGAGGCAGAGCGGGGAGCAAUUCUGUGUUUUUGAAUAUUCCCACAAAAUAUCCAGUGGUUAUUCAGACUGAAUGCUGUCCCUGCUCAAUGCAGGUAAAGGCAGCAGUGGUAAGGUAUGCCAGCAAAAUGGAAAAAAUAAAGAAAAGAAAAGAAAAGAAGAAAACCCCAAACACAGAAGAACAUUUUUAAUUUAAAUUACCCAACAGGUAACACAGAAGCUGAGUAACUGUUUCCCCCCUAACAUCUAAUUCAGUUGGUUGGUGGUGGGGGGGUGACUCAUUGAAACAGAAUAAUGCAUUUGGUCGCUGUAGCAACAAGCUCUUUGUGACUGGAGAUGAGAGCAACUAAGAGCAUGUUUCUAAAAGGCCCUCUCGAUCGACACUAUCCCUUCUAUGUGCCUGUUUAAAAAAACAAGAAGGCGGCAGGAUUGAAACCAAAUUAUGUCUGCAAAGAAAGAGGUUCUCUGCUCAACUAAAUCGACAUCAUAUGACAUCAGCCAACAAUAUUGAAGUGCUUUGAGAAUGGUAACCAAGUAGUUUUUACAGCCUUGAGGAUUGUGUUGGUAGUGUGCUUUCAAGAUCAUGCUAUAUGCAAUUAGAAGAUUGACAAUUAGGAGUUCACUGCAGUUUCUCAAACCUGGGUGUAUAGUUUUUGUAGCAUCACAUAGUAGGCAGAGAUCAGAGAGAAAAUGCCAUCACAAGAAAACAACACUACUGAUCUGUUUCUCACCAGCAAAGGCCAUCAGUCUUUGGGGUUCAAGAACAUCACCCUUUAUUGUAUUUUGCUAAUGAUAAUGAAAGAGAAUGUAUAAGUUUGUAAACUCUGGAGUUUAAUUUGAGUUUAGAGUGCUCUUGUAGUUGCAUUCAAAGUCAUCAUAUUCAGAGAUGAAAGCACCAACAUGUACAGGAAUUGCUCCAAAGGAAGAAAAACACAGUAUCUCUUCUGAUCAAUGGUCCUAUCUUUGUUCUCUGUGCCGCAACAUUCUCUUUCCCAAUUGCUUGUUUUCCUGCAUGUUGUAACUGCUGCCAUGGACUAGAGAGUCUCACCUGUUUCAGGUUCGUUGUUAAAGGUAUCUUUCCUCACUUUUAUUGCUUGCAGUGCAGGACUGGUUCCUUCCCAACUGCAAGAUGGCUGGUCCUUUUGAACUGAAACAAGAAAUAAAACCAACUCAGUAUCAGGA